rnacentral:rRNA from 1 species
UACGUAGGUGGCAAGCGUUGUCCGGAUUUAUUGGGCUUAAAGGGUGCGUAGGCGGUUCUGCAAGUCAGUGGUGAAAUACUCUAGCUUAACUAGAGGGGUGCUAAUGAUACUGCAGAACUUGAGUACAGAUGAGGUAGGCGGAAUUGACGGUGUAGCGGUGAAAUGCAUAGAUAUCGUCAAGAACACCGAUAGCGAAGGCAGCUUACUGGGCUGUAACUGACGCUGAUGCACGAAAGUGUGGGGAGCGAACAGG